rnacentral:siRNA from 1 species
GGGGAAUGGGGAGCCCAAGGCAAAAGCAGACAAUUUCCUGGCAAGCAUUCUGUAGGAGGCUAACACAGGCCGACUAAGCCAGUCCUGACGAUGAUCCCAGCAAUACCAACACAUGGGAGGCUGAGGCAGGAGAAUCACAAAUUUGAGGCCAGCCUGGGUUACAUAGUGAGUUUCAGAGCAGCCUCAGUUAUAUAACAAGACCCAAGCACAAGUAAACAAACAAACAAACGGCUAGGUCAGCGGUUCUCAACCUACAGAUCUCAACCCCUUUACGGAGAAAUGACCUUUUCACGGGGAUUACAUAAAACCAUCGGAAAACACGGCUAUUUCUGUUACAAUUCAUAACCGUAACAAAAUUACAGUUACGAAGUAGUAACAAAAAUAAUUUUAUGGUGGGUGGUCCACCCAACCGGAGGAACUGUAUUAACGGUCACAGCAACAGGAAGGUUGAGAACCACUGCUGUUAGCAGGUGAUUGGCAUAGUGUAGUCUGGGGGGGACUUCCUGGAGAGUCCUUCUGCUCAAUCUAUGGGUUUGUAGCCCUUAAUGGCAGGAUGCCGGGGCAAACCAAAGCUUGGAACAAUUGUG